GAUGGACCCUGUGGCUCAGUGGAAAAGUUUCUGCUUAGCAUUCAGAAGAUCCCAAGUUCAGUCCUUGACAUCUUCA
rnacentral:tRNA from 1 species